rnacentral:rRNA from 1 species
GACGAACGCUGGCGGCGUGCUUAACACAUGCAAGUCGAACGGAAAGGCCCUGCUUUUGUUGGGUGCUCGAGUGGCGAACGCGUGAGUAACACGUGAGUAUCCUGUCCUUGACUUUCGGAUAACUUCAGGAAACUGGGGCUAAUACCGGAUAGAAGCUCCUGCUGCAUGGUGGGGGUCGGAAAGUUUCGGCGGUUGGGGCUGGACUAGCGGCUUAUGAGCUUGUUGGUGGAGUAGUGGCUUACCAAGGCUAUGACGGGUAGCCGGCCUGAGAGGGGGAACGGCGACAUUGGGACUGAGAUACGGACCAGACGCCUACGGGAGGCAGCAGGCGGGAAUAUUGCAGAAUGGGCGGAAGCCUGAUGCAGCAACGCCGCGUGCGGGAUGACGGCCUACGGGUUGUAAACCGCUUUCGCCUGUGACGAAGCGUGAGUGACGGUAAUGGGUAAAGAAGCAACGGCUAACUACGUG